AUACGUAGGGGGCGAGCGUUGUCCGGAAUGAUUGGGCGUAAAGGGCGCGUAGGCGGCCUGUUAAGUCUGGAGUGAAAGUCCUGUUUUCAAGAUGGGAAUUGCUUUGGAUACUGAUGGGCUUGAGUGCAGGAGAGGUUAUCGGAAUUCCCGGUGUAGCGGUGAAAUGCGUAGAGAUCGGGAGGAACACCAGUGGCGAAGGCGGGUAACUGGACUGCAACUGACGCUGAGGCGCGAAAGUGUGGGGAGCAAACAGGAUUAGAUACCCUGGUAGUCCACACUGUAAACGAUGAAUGCUAGGUGUAAGAGGUAUCGACCCCUUUUGUGCCGGAGUUAACACAAUAAGCAUUCCGCCUGGGGAGUACGGCCGCAAGGUUGUAACUCAAAUGAAUUGACGGGG
rnacentral:rRNA from 1 species